ACGUGCGUCUCGUGUGCCAACCAUCCUCGGCUUCGCUAUCUGUAGAUUGGCCUAUCAAAUAAGUCCUCGUGCACGGACUGCUCUCGCUCACCGUCUGUACACGACACGUAUAUAUACGCUGCGCCUUCCCAUACCUGAAGUAUCGUCAGUGGCCGAUAUACAUGCGGUGCUCGCACUAAUACACAUUUCGGUUGCAAAGUGUGCUUAGUGGUAGAAAGUAAGUGGUUAAUAUUGACCCGGCCGCAGACAACACAAUGAAGGCACACUGCAUUAUCGCUGCGAUCGCGCUUGUGGUCAUUUCAGACAUGGCGAAGUCGUCUACGAUCAGAACUGACGUGCCACGUCGUAGCCUGUGCCCGUUGUUCCUGAUCCCCGAAGGCGGGUGCACCGAUCCGCCCAGCAACGUGACAUGUAGGGACCUGCGCUGCGAAGAAUACCAGCAAGAAUGCUGCAGCAGGGCCUGCGGUGGAAAAUUCUGCUUCGGCAUACGGGUCGGCAAUGAUUCGCCUCACGAAAGUCAUUAAGACGAAUUGUGCGGUGUUCC
rnacentral:lncRNA from 1 species